rnacentral:lncRNA from 1 species
UGAUUUCGAAAUAUUAAGCAAGAACACCAAUUUUGGGUUGGAACGAAUAUGAAUCGGAUUAGAUUGCGUAUAUCAGGCUGUGGUAUUCUAUUAGAUUAGAUGAAUUGACAACAUAAAAUCAAUUGAUAAUAAAUAGAUUGAUCCAUUAUUUAUAUAUUAAUUAGUUAAUAGGUUUUCCAAUUUUCUUAUGUGUGAUUUUGUUUCUAGUAUGACAUAAUUUGUUUAUAUGCUAGUAGUUUAUAUGGUGUCAUUUUGAUUGAUUGUGACGAGUCUGUGGCUGAAUUCAAACAUUUUAAUGGCUGGUUCUGUGGCGACAAACAAAUACUGUAUAUUCAGGGCGUACCAUGUUUUCUCUGGGGUACAAAACAGUUAGGUUAUUUAUCCUACAAAGAGGAAAUAAACACUUUGUACACUUAGAAAAGUGACCCACACAUCAAAACUCAAAAGUGACUAGUAUAAUAUACAUAUUUAAAAGAAUGCUCUUAUAUGUGUGUAUGAUAACAACUCAAAACAAAAUGAGAGCACGUAUGAUAUCUUUCUCGCAGAUCUUUUAGGUCCAUUUGUUUCUAGAUGGUUGAUCAAUGAUGGAAUUUUGUUUAUACAGGGAUGUUAAUAGUUAUAUACAGGAUUGCCCUACACAAACACAGCCACACACUCACUCAGGACAGGUCAAAAACUCUCAUAAAGGUUUAACGAGUGAAGAGUCAGCAGCCAAGCCAAAAGGGUCAAGAUGACACGUGCAUGCUAGUGAAUGAAUACCCCGGUCGAGAGACAAGGUGACUGGCCUUAAAGAAACAUUUGUCAAAAGAGGUUUCCGAAAAUGGAAAAUAAAACCGAAGCAACCGCUUUCAGCAAACCGCGAAUUUAAUAGAGACCAAACCGGUGUUCCAAAAACAGAAAGAUGGGUCCUAUUAUCCUAUAAGAGAGCUCAUGGCCCCGUGGCUUAAAUAUUAGUUCUAAUACUAUCACGUCACCUUCAAGCCUUACUUUCUUGUUAAGAAAAUCAUUU